UUCCUCGUUUUUCAUUACGCGUUUCUGGUUCUGCUCGCGUUCGCCUCUUUUCUUCUCUCUCUCGCCAUGGCGUCUGGCGAUAUCGUCGUCUUCCGGAUUGAGAGCGUUCUCCGUCCUAUUUCCCUUUCGUUUUCCGAUUCUUGAUUGAUUGAUUGUUGAUGGGGGUUCCGAUCGCUAUCAUCUGGUUGCAGAGUCCCCACCGCUGUCGCGCGGAGAUUCUCGAGGGUUUCGCUUGCCCUACGGUCGUCCCCGUUGGUUAUGGGAAUCAUCCGGUUUACACCUCGUCCUUUGAUCGGUUGGAGCUUGCCAGACUCGACAAGUGGCGAUCUGCGGCGAGCUGAUGAUUGUCUGAAAUUGCAUAAGUUCUAUGGUUUCAGUUUGAAUGAAAUUUGUUCCCCACUCCCAUAAUUUUCCAAUUAAUGAGUAAACCGAUUCUCAUUGCUUUGGAGUGGUUAAUGUAUGAUAUGUGAUGGUUCUUUCUUUGCAAGGUGUAUGCGCCACAACAUAUCACUAGUCAAUCCAAAUUUGCCUGCCGGUGUCCCCCUCCUAGAAAUAGUCCCUCCCUCGUGUCCUCAUCCUUCAGUCUCAUCGGGAGACAUCGUUAUGGGAAUCUAUUCGGUUUAUGCCUCGUCCUUUGAUCACUUAGUGAUUCAUCGACCUAUCAAUUGAUCUUUGCGUUUUGCAUUGUUGUUUUGCCCAGCUCAUUCUGGAUUCAUCUUGUUUGGUGAAUGGGCAGUGUGCGGCUUCUUUCCUUCCUCUUGGAUCAUAUCUCUUGAGGAUGCUGUGAUGCCAUAACGGGGAGGGUUUGGUUUAGCUCCUCCUUUGACCCUUUAUUGAUACAAUGACCGAUCGAUCUUUCUGUACAAUUGUUUCACGAGCUGCUUCUGGAUUUUGUUAUUUGGUGAAUCCACAGUGGCUCCUUUCCCCUUGGAGCGAAACUGUUUGUCUGAGGAUGUCAAGGACGAUGAAUACUACGAUGACACUGGUCAGCUUGUUUCAUAAAACAUGGAUGUUUGGGCUUAUCGGAAGACUGAUGAUUCUUUUGCUGUUUCUUUCUUCUUGAUUGGAACUCGUUCUUCGGUAUUUUUUUUUUUCUUUUUAAUCUUUGGGGGUGGAUUAUCGUGUAGUCCUGACAGGUUGGAGUUUUGCCAGACUCGACAUGUGGUGAUUUGGUGCCAGCUGAUGAUGCUGAUGAUUGUCUGAAAUUGGAUAAGCUCUAUCAUUUCUGGAGGCAGUUGUCGGUUUGAAUGGAAAUUUGUUCUCUAGUGUUAUAAUUUUCUAAUUAAUGUGAAACACAAUUCUCAUUCCUUUAGAGGUCAGUGUUUGGUUGAUGUAUGGUCCAUGAUGGUUUUUUCUUUGCAAGGUGUAUGUGCCACAACAGAUCAUCAUCCAAUCCGGAGCUGCUCGCCGAUGUCUCCUUCCUAGAAAUAGUCCCCCCUCAUGUCCUUAUCCUUCAGUCUCAUUGGGAGACAUUGUUAUGGGAAGUGUUUGGUUUAGCGCCUCUUCUGAUCCUUUAUCGAACCCACUUUACGUAUAAUUAUUUUACCAGCUGGUUCUAGAUUCUGGUAUUUGGUGAAUUUGCAGUGGUUACUUUCCCCCUCAGAGUGUACUAUUUUUCUGAUGAUGGUGAGGAGGAAUGAAUACAAUACCAUGACAGCGGUCAGUUUGUUUCAUAAAACUAGAUGUUGGGGCUUUUUGGAGGCCUGAUGAUCCUUUUGCUGUCUCUUUUUGGUUGAGAUGAUAAACCAGUAGUCUUUCAAGCGAGAGGCUGAAAUUUGAUGGUCUUGACUGGAACUUUUUCUGAGGAUGUUGUCUGAGGACGGUGAAUAUGAUGAAUACAAUGCAACUGGUCAGUUGGUUGCCUAGAAUACAACAUUUGGGCUUUCUAGAGGACUUGCACUGUUUGGUUGAGCUAAUGAUCUAUAAAAGCCUUUUUCUUCAGGACAAACAGUGGACUGAAAUUUUGACAACCUUCUAGGCUUGUUUUAUAGUUUGAAAGCUUUACUGGAUUUGACAGCUGGUGAUCUGUUGCGUUUCUGUGGGCUUGAGUUGAUAAUCGCUUGAAAUUGGAUGAGCUCCUGGUUUUCGGAUUGUGGGCAGUUAUUGGUUUGAAUGAAACCUUCUCUUUACUUCUGUUUUUUCUUAGUUAAUCCGAAAGAUCAGAUCUAGUUCUCUUCCCUUCGCAGAUCACAGUUUGGUGGAGGCAAUAUUUCAUGUGGUCAAGUUCGAUAUGGAGUGUCUACAAUGCAGCAUCAUUUUCUAAUUUCUCUUGCACUUAUGUUAUCUUCUAGUCAAGGUGGUUAUCAUCUGGUUGAGGUGGAACGAUCAGAUGUUCUCUUUCCUUUGCAGGUCAUAGUUUUGAUCAAGGCAAUCCUUUACCUCAUUAAUUUCGAGAUGGAGCGUCUGUGAUCUGUGAUGGCUCUUUCUUGCUGCAUAAGAAUUUAUUCAUAGGACAAGCUCUUCUGUCAAAGUUCUUUCUUUUCUGGAAAGGUCCACACAAGUUCUAGAUUGUUUCUCUUCAUUCUUAUCCGUGUUCCACAAUCACUAAUUGGAUCUCUGGUUAUUCAUUGGAGAUUAUCAUUAAGAUGUAUGCAUCAUGCACUUCUUCCCUAUCGUGGAAAUGGCUACUGGCAUUACCUAGUUUGCUUUGCCUUCCUUUGUACACGAUUUCUGUGUUUUCUUUUUGUACAGAUCAAGAGGUCAUUUGGUGUUCUUUCUAUGUCUAAAAAAUUGUAGGUUUUCUUUGGUUAUUGGAACCGUGAAGGCUUUUUGCUGACAGAAUCGGUUUUACUUCAGGGCAUACUAGGAGUAUCUUAAUUUCAAAUGAUGUAUUUCAAAUAACUAUCUAGAUUGGCAUUCUUAAUCUUUCUUGUUUUAAAUCUAUUUCUUAACGGAUGAUGAUAGCUGAUACCAGCUGUUCUUUGUCUUUUUAGAGCCCACUUUCUCUUCGGGAUUGGAUUGGAAACUUUUGAUUUGUAUGUCUUGGAGGAGUGGUGAUGUAUUAUGCAGUUUUUGUUUGCUCAAGUUCUGAAGUCGUCUCUCAUCAUAUUUUCAGGAUGGGCGCUGGACUGAGAUUUUGAAGAUUUCUAGGCAUUUUGUAGUAUUGAUAUAAGUUUGUCUUCAGUUGAUUGUCUUUGGGGAGCGGUGAGAGAGUUCUCUCUACAGGUUGAAGUUUUGCCGGGUUUGAGAAGUGGUGAUUUAUUGUGUUCUUCUGUAGGGCUGAGUUGAUGGUUGUUUGAAAUUGGACAAACAACUGCUUUGUGGAUUCUAGACACUUAUUAGUCUGAAUGAAGUUUGUUUUCCACUUCUUUUUUCCGUUUAUUGUGAGAUGAUUAGGCCUACCUCUCUUUCCUUCGAUUGCAAGCCUCUUCUGUUUCGAUGUGGGCUGUCUUUAAUCUGUGAUGGUUCUUUCUACAUUUCAUUUAACAAGCUCUUCUUUAUCUGAGCUUCUCUUGCCUUUUGUUGUUUUUGGAAAAUGAAUAGUCAUUCACUAUCUUCCAUUGUAGGGAUUGUUCAUGAGUCUGGAAAUCUUGAGAUCCUCAAAGAGCCGGCUUGUUUCUAUCCUUGCAAUGCAUGCUGCAAUAACUAGUAGCUGGUAAAUCAUGGAGAUAUUGCAAGUGUAAUUUAUUCGUCUCGCCUUUUCUAUUUUGCAAAUGCUAGCUUCACACAAUCUAUAUGAUUGAUGUGUUUUCUUUCGAUACAGAACUUUUGGUGGAACUUUUCAUUUACCAGGUGAUUUCUAUGCUUUAAGUGGGUGUUGACAAGUGGUCAUGGACAUCCUUAGUGUUUAUGCUUUUUUGAUCAUCGAUUGAUGGAUUGAUCAAUCCUUCUGUUGUUUUAGAGCUGUUUCUGAAUUUAUAAUCUAGUGCAUUGACUGUAGCUUCUUUUCUCACAGAGCAAUCUCUUUGAUUGAGGAGGUUGUCUCAGGAAUGGGUACAUAUGAUGAGGUUGGUCAAUUAUUACAUAGAAUGACUGAGCUUUUCCCAAGUUCGAUGAUCUAUUCACAUCUAUCUUUGGUUGGGUUGGUGUAUGGGCAGUCUCCUUGAUCAUCUUCAGGACUGUGUGAAGAACUGAAAUUUCGAUGAACUCCUGCUGCAUAGGCACUUGGGUUUUUAUUGAAUCUUUCCUCAGUUGAUUCCCUUGGAGUGGAAAUAUGAUAAUUGUCUUUGUUCCUAUUCCUUUCUAGGUUGGAGUUUUGCCAGAUUUUAUAAGUGAUGAUCUUUCGCCUUUUCUGUGCGGCUGAGUUGAUGCAUUGUGGAGUCCGGCCUUUUUGUGAAAUUGGAUAAGCCUCCCCUUCUUGGAUUUUGGUUCUUUCGAUGUGCUCACUCUAUAUGUGUCUAUGGAUCAAUCCCUAAUCAAUUGAUAUUUUGUCCAUGCUUUUAUGAUAGGGUGUGCGAGAACUACCUUGACUUAUGCUUAGAGGGUUUGAAGUUCGACAUAAGAUCUCUUGAUUGUCAUUGGAUGGCCUCUCUUUUGGACAUAGCUGCAAAAGGAGAGUAUUAAGUCUCCUUACUUGCAAUAAGAUAUCUGUAUGGUUUGCUUAGCCAACAUCUUCCACUGCUCUAAUAAUUUCUUCUGAUACAGUGAUUAUUGGGGACAUUUUAGAAAUGAGGCUUUUUGUAGGUGAGAUGGGUUGCUUUUAUUUUGUAGUGAGGGCCUAAUUUCUGAAUAUUUUAGGUUCUCGUUGAUCCAUGGGACUAUGAAGACUUUUCUGCUGGACCUAAGUCAUACUUUGUUGCAAACUGUUAGCAUCUCAUUCUGAAAAGAUGAACUGGUACUGUGCUAUUUUAAUAGCAUACACCGCGUGGGUUCCUUUCAUAACCAGUUGGUCUCUUUCUUCUCGUGUUUCAUGAUUGUCAUAAGUGAUCAGGCCUCACAUGGGGAUGUUGACAGGACAGCCAUGUAGACAUAACUCCCUUGGCAUUACUUGCACUCUGACUGGUUCUCUCCUUUCUGCUGAUUCUCUUGGCUGAUUCUCUUGUUUCUUAUCCAUCACAAAGCUGUGUUGUGGCUGUACACUGUCAGCAGACAUGGCCGGUCUGGCUGGGAGGAGCAGACACUUGGUGCUUGGUUGGCAUGUUUGUUGAAUUUUGUAGUUAAUUUGAAUGGGUGAAACUGAAGGGGCGGAUGACAAUCCUGCAUAAGCUAUGUUUUGAGGUUUUAACUUACCUGGUGAGUAUGGAGCUCUUCUGAUAUCUUAUGAUACCCUAAUGUACGACGGUUGAACUUCUACUUCUUAUAUAUGAUCUUAAAUUUAAUCAAGAACAGAUGCUGGUGAGGAUGGAGCUCUUCUGAUAUCUUAUGAUACCCUAAUGUACAAUGGGUGAACUUCUACUUCUUAUAUAUGAUCUAAAUUUAAUCAACAACAGAUGUUGAAGCUUUUUAGGAUUAUGAAUUUAUAGAUGUCCAAUUGCAGUGUGAUCCUUUGCCAUUGAUGAUCUUUUGACCAGAUACUCUAAUUCAUGGUUCUACUGUAUCUCUUUCUCAUGGGCUUUACAAGGGUUGUUAAAGUCAUUUUCCUUGUAAUUGGAGAUACUAAAUGGUCACCUUAUGAUCGGUUUCAUUUGCUUUAGUAUUUCAUUUGGAGGCAUGAAUUUUGAAGCAUCUGCUUGGUCUAUUUCCAGAACAAUUAUGGUGAAGGCUCUGAUUUUUUACAGAAAGGUUUAUCAAAGUUCUUAAGGUUCAAGCCUCCGUCUGAUCACAUCAACUAAUUUUGCGGCUUCUAAUGCUAUAUGGAUUAUUCAGUCGUCGACGGGUGCUUGUUCCAGUUUAUAGCGCUCCCAGUAAGGACCAUGUGAGGAUGCUAAUUGAUCAAAAUUAUUAGAGAAUUCUAGUUCUUGAGUUGGAGAAGGCAGGAGGUUAUUAUUUAAUGCAAUUAUGUUUAGUUGAGAUACUGAAUUAUUGUUUUUCUUUGUGGAUUGGAGUGAUGAGCAAUGUGUGGAUCUUCCUGUAGGGAUUGUCUGAUUUUUGUAUUCUUAAGGAUUAGAGGAGAUGCGACGGACAUCUAGAUCUCUUCCUGUUGUAGGUUGGAGUCCUUUCGCAACUCAUGUUGUCAACCUGGUUUGUGUUGUAGGAUAUGGACCCAUUUUAACUAUUUGGGGAAUCAAUUGACUUAGCAAGCUUUUGCUUUUUGCUUCUGCUGGGGUACUUUCGGUAUAAA